AAACCUACACGGUGCUCAGAAACUCCAAUUAGAAAAAUACAGAGAAGAUUAGCAAGGCCCCAUGCAAGGAAGACAGGCAAACUCAUGAAGAGAUUCAUGUUAAA
ensembl:snRNA U6 U6 spliceosomal RNA